rnacentral:lncRNA from 1 species
AUGGAUGUGUCCCCAUGGAUGUGUCCCCGGCUGGCCUCGAGCCCCAAAACCGGGGACUCGGUGGCUUUUUGGGCUGGGGUCUGUCCUGUGGAGGGGUGUGGGGGGCAAGCCAUGUGCAAGCAGCGUGCCCUGGCCACUUUUUGUUUGGAAGCCCUAAAAAUAGGAGCAGGGAGAUUGUAUUUUUCUGAUCAUGGAUGUAACCCAAGCACGGGGGCUCUGUGUGCUCCGGGGUGCCCCUGGGGGCUGUCACCCCCAGCCCCCUGUGCAGGAGGGGACUUCUGGCCUGGAUGCUGCAGUAUUUUGGGGAGGAGCGGGGGGGACAGGACACACCGCUGGCUUGUGUACCCAUGCACCCCCCCAGGGACCCCGAAAUUGUCCCUGAGCAUCCCCAGCAGGGGGAUGGCUGGGGUCUGUGGGACCCCCACCCCCCACCCCCCAGUGUUGGGGACAGCCCAAUCACCCUGGCGGGUUGGGGAAGGGGAGGGGAGGAGGUGGGGACGGUUUUGGGGGGGGUGCCAGCAGGAGGGAGCCGCGCAUCCACCCCGUGCUAUUUGCAGCCCAGCCCUGCUAAAUCAGGCCCCCACCUGUCCCGGCGGCAGGGGAAAGAAUCCCACACCCCAAAAUAGCCGCGUGCCUUCCCCUUGCCCAUGGAAAAUGCUUAUACAUCCUGGGGGUGGGGGGGGGCGGGGGCUGCUUGGACCCCGGGAUGGCCCCCGCUGCGCCUGCCAGCACCCAUGGGUGCCAGCGGGGAGCCCCCGCUGUGACAGCAAAGGGGUUCCCCAAAUGUCCCCACUAUGGGGAAGGGGGAUGCUGCCCCCUCAGUGGGGUCCCCAGUGGGUUUUUUUGGGGGGGGGGACCCCCAGCAGCAGGGCUGUCCCCACGGUGUCACCCACGUGCCAGGCGUGUGCCUGCCGUCACCUCCGGGCACGGGGACGUGCGGGAUGUUUUCCACUGCGAGCGAUCGGCCGGGGGACAAAAAUACCCUCGGGAGGGUGGGGGGACACCGGUGGGGCCCAGCUGGGGGUUACUGGGGCUCCUGCUGCUUGCCAGCCCCAUGGGGUGGGGUGCUGGGGGCACUGGGGGCACUGGGAGCGCUGGAGGAGUUCUAGGAUAUUGAGGCACUGGUGUAUUGGGAGCACUGGGGGCCGUGGAGGUGCUGUAGGAACUGGGAGCGCUGGGAUGCUGGGAGCACUGGGGGCCCUGAAAGCUCUGGGAACAUUGGCCUAUUGGGUGUACUGGGAGUACUGGGGUGGUGCUGGGGUAAGUAGAGCACUGGGGGCACUGGGAGCACUGGAAUAA